CACGUAGGGCGCGAGCGUUGUCCGGAAUUAUUGGGCGUAAAGAGCUCGUAGGCGGCCUGUUGCGUCCGCUGUGAAGCCCGGGCUUAACCCGGGUCGGCAGUGGAUACGGGCAGGCUAGAGGUAGGUAGGGGAGAAUGGAAUUCCCGGUGUAGCGGUGAAAUGCGCAGAUAUCAGGAGGAACACCAGUGGCGAAGGCGGCUUACUGGUCCGGUUCUGACGCUGAGGCACGAAAGCGUGGGGAGCAACAGG
rnacentral:rRNA from 1 species